GAAGGUGUAGCUCAAGUGGUAGAGCGCAUGCUUAGCAUGCACAAGGACCUGGGUUCAAUCCCCAGGGCCUCCU
rnacentral:tRNA from 1 species